GGGUAGUUUACUGCCUGAGCUUUGCGGAAGACACGGUCAGGUGGGGAGUUUGGCUGGGGGCGGCACAUCUGUUAAACAAUAACGCAGGUGUCCUAAGGUGAGCUCAAAGAGAACAGAAAUCUCUUGUAGACCAAAAAGGGGAAAAGCUCACUUGAUUUUGAUAUCCAGUACAUAUACAAACCGUGAAAGCGUGGCCUAUCGAUCCUUUAACUUUACAAGUAUUAAGCUAGAGGUGUCAGAAAAGUUACCACAGGGGAUAACUGGCUUGUGGCUGCCAAGCGCUCAUAGCGACGUAGCUUUUUGAUCCUUCGAUGUCGGCUCUUCCUAUCAUUGUGAAGCUAGAAUUCACAACGUGUCGGAUUGUUCACCCGUUAAUAGGGAACGUGAGCUGGGUUUAGACCGUCGUGAGACAGGUUAGUUUUACCCUACUGACUGAAUUGAUGUUGCGACAGUAGUCUAACCUAGUACGAGAGGAACAGUUAGA
rnacentral:rRNA from 1 species